UGCGAAGGGGGCUAGCGUUGUUCGGAAUUACUGGGCGUAAAGGGCGCGUAGGCGGCCUCGUCCGUCCGGCGUGAAAUGCCUGGGCUCAACCUAGGAAUUGCGCUCGAUACAGCGAGGCUAGAGUGUGGGAGAGGUUGGUGGAAUUCCCAGUGUAGAGGUGAAAUUCGUAGAUAUUGGGAAGAACACCGGUGGCGAAGGCGGCCAACUGGACCACAACUGACGCUGAGGCGCGAAAGCGUGGGGAGCAAACAGG
rnacentral:rRNA from 1 species